UCCGGACACGAGGAUAGGCUCCUCGCAACCGGAAAAGGCCGGAGCUAAAAGACGUCAGGCGUCCUUGCGGAAGUGGACGACGCUCUCAUUGGCUGCGGGACGUCUGGCUGCGGGAGCGGGCCUUUUGGAGGAGACCGGAAGUGGAGGAACUGAGAGGUGACCAGAAAUGGAGAGAAAAGUAAGCAGAAUCUGUCUUGCUUCUGAACCUGAUGUAAUUCAUUUUCUACAAGUGGCUUGGGAGAAAACACUAGGAUCUGGUUUUGUUAUUACACUUACUGAUGGUCAGUCAGCAUGGACCGGGACAGUUUCUGAGUCCGAGAUUUCCCAAGAAGCCGAUGACAUGGCAUUGGAAAAAGAGAAAUAUGUUGAUGAACUGAGAAAAGCACUGGUAUUAGGAGGAGGACCAGCUGAUGCAUACAAAUUUGAUUUUUCUAGAGAGUCUUGUCAUUUCUCCUUUGAGAAAAACCUGAAAGAUGUUUCAUUCAGACUUGGUUCCUUCAACCUGGAGAAAGUUGCAAAUCCAGCUGAGGUCAUUAGAAAACUUAUUUGUGAUUGCCUGGAUACUAUCACAGAAAACCAAGCCAAAAAUGAGCACCUGCAGAAGGAAAAUGAAAGGCUUCUGAGAGAUUGGAAUGAUGUUCAAGGACGAUUUGAAAAAUGCGUGAGUGCUAAGGAAGCUGUGGAGACUGAUCUUUAUAAACGGUUUAUUCUGGUGCUGAAUGAGAAGAAAGCGAAGAUUAGAAGCUUACAUAAAUUAUUAAAUGAAGUUCAAGAACUAGAAAAGAACAUUGAGCCUGAAAGGGAAACCACAACAUGUUCUGAAAUGACUGCUGACAGAGAUGCAGUCUAUGAUGAAAGCACUGAUGAGGAAAGGGAAAACCUGCCUGAUCCUUCUGUGUUAGCUCCAGCUACUUUAAGAGGAGAUGAUUCCAUUAUUUCAAGUCCUGAUGUCACAGAUAUUGCACCAAGUAGAAAGAGGAGGCAGCGGAUGCAAAAGAAUCUUGGGACAGAACCUAAAAUGGCUUCUCAGGUACAUGGGCCUCAAGAAAAGGAGAAGCUUGAUCCUUCACUACCUGAGACGUCAAAAAAGGAGCACAGCUCAGCUGAAAACAUGUCUUUAGAAACUCUAAGAAACAGUAGUUCAGAAGACCUCUUUGAUGAGAUUUAACUGUCUCAAAAAGGACCCAAGGCUUCUUCUCAAUUGAAAACUGUUUCUGGCAGCAUGUAUAUGAGGAUAUUUGCUUCAUUGUGCCUAGGAUCGGCCAGAUCAGGGACUUGAAAUGUGAACCUAUUUUCUGCAUGUGGGUGGGACUGGAACCUUGUCAUCCCUAGUGCAGCAAAAGAUGAUACCAUGUCUAAGAACACUUCACCUGAUCACUAAAAAAGAAGACGUGAAAUGUGAUCCUAAAGCUCAGAAGGAGGUUCAGAUGAAGAUAAUGAAAUUCCCUGGACACCCACCUGCCAGCUACACCUUUCUUGUCCAGUCAUUGGCUGACUGCCCCUGACUCCUGCCAAGUUCCUGAAGACAAGAUCAAGGCAACGAAGCAAGGCACGCAGCUUCUGGCUUCUGGUUUCUUGUAGACACCUGCACUAGGAAUGAAGAUCUUGCUUUAUCGAUACCUGGGACUAUGGAGUUUACAUACAGAAUAUCCCCAGUAUAAGGACAUGAUUUAAAGGGGGAUACAUAGAAUGAGAUUUUAGUUACUGUUUGAUUCAGACUUGAGUGUAAUGGGCAAAGUAGUUUUAGUUAUAAAGGUUACAAAAAUAUACUUUCCCAUUCAAAACCUUGUGAUAAUUUUUAAAACGUGGGAGAAUCAGAAAUAACUGCUUUGUCAUUCAUUUUGUCUUCAUGAAGAGAGAAAGAGAGACACAGGGAGAGAGAGGCAGGGAGGGAGAGGGAGAAAGAGAGAGAGAGGGAGAAGUCCUCAAGGACAGUUAAAUGGAAAUAAUACAUCUAUAGAGUCUAUUCUGAAUGUACCUUGUAUACUUUCCUUUUUAUUCCCUAUUAUAGGGAAAUUAGAGAAAGCAAGCUGAUAUUUGGGGGUGUCGUUUCAUUUUGCUUAUUUGGCAGCCUGCAGGAGUGUUUAAUUUUCUAAAUAAUGUUACAAGCCGAGGUAAAGAAAAGGCAUGCGGUAUAAAGCUGUUCAGAAUUGUCCAUGUUCUGACUAGUGAAGUCUGCCUGAGAAAGUGCCUUUGCCCUAUAGAACUGCUCUGUCAAGAGUUGUAAUGUCCGUGGACAUUAUAAGGGACUAUAAACAUUAGAGGGCUAGAGAAACACAUUUGGGAAGAUAAAGGAAAAUAUCUCAGGAUGUACGUAGUCUCUGACCCUUAUUUUUCAUCAUGUUUCAUCAUGUAAAGUUGGCAUUAUUUACAGGGACUGUUAAAUAUUAACAUUUCCUUAAAAAUGGUUAUUAAUCUGCUAUUAGUUGCUUUCUUCCGCCUUAGGUCUCCUUUGCAGAAAUGUUUUACUUAACUGUAUUAUGAAGGGAGAGCAGGGUAAUGGAAAGAUAAUAAGCUUUUCAGAUUGGCAGAUGUACCACUUAGAAAGUAGCCACAGGCAAGACAUUUAAACUCUUUGGAACUCAACUAGGUUUACUCAAAUUUAAGAAUGAGAACAAUAAUAUAUACUUUGAGGUGUCUCAGAGAAAGGUCUGUCCUAAUACCUGGAGUAUAAAUUUCGAUAAGGAGUUUUCUCCCUUUUUGAGUGAAGUGAUCUUGUUUAUAAAGUUGCUAGGAGGGGCACCUGGGUGGCUCAGUCAUUAAAGCGUGUGCCUUAAGCUCAGGUCAUGAUCCCAGGACCCUGGGAUCUAGCCCGCUUUGGGCUCCCUGCUUGGCCGGAAGCCUGCUUCUCCCUCUCCCACUUCCCCUGCUUGUGUUCCCUCUCUCUCUGUGUCUUUCUCUGUCAAAUAAAUAAAAUCUUUAAAAAAAGUUGCUAGGAGGAGUGCUGGAAAGACCACUGGACCUGGAGUCAAGAGUUGUGUUCUGGUAAUAGCUCUGCUGUUAAUUGUCUGACUUUAGGAAAAAUCACUUUCUGAGCUUUAGUUUGCUUAUCUGCUAAAUGUAAAGGUUGAAAUCUGAUUCUGUUCUGUGACUCUGUUAUUCUAAAUACUUAAUGAAAUAGAACUUCAAUGUUAAGAACGGUGGUAUAAAAACUAUAGUAAGAAUAAAAAAAUAAUUGUAAAACAAACAAAAAAAUUGAUUCCUAAAUCCUGUAGUUAAUAGUUAUGUUAUUCACUGUAGUGAGCUGAUAAAUAAAUAAAUAAUGAGAAAUGGAAAGCAC